GACGAACGCUGGCGGCGCGCCUAACACAUGCAAGUCGAACGAGAGAUGAGGAGCUUGCUCUUCAAAUCGAGUGGCGAACGGGUGAGUAACGCGUGAGGAACCUGCCUCAAAGAGGGGGACAACAGUUGGAAACGACUGCUAAUACCGCAUAAGCCCACAGCUCGGCAUCGAGCAGAGGGAAAAGGAGCAAUCCGCUUUGAGAUGGCCUCGCGUCCGAUUAGCUAGUUGGUGAGGUAACGGCCCACCAAGGCGACGAUCGGUAGCCGGACUGAGAGGUUGAACGGCCACAUUGGGACUGAGACACGGCCCAGACUCCUACGGGAGGCAGCAGUGGGGAAUAUUGCACAAUGGGGGAAACCCUGAUGCAGCGACGCCGCGUGGAGGAAGAAGGUCUUCGGAUUGUAAACUCCUGUUGUUGAGGAAGAUAAUGACGGUACUC
rnacentral:rRNA from 1 species